rnacentral:rRNA from 1 species
GGACAACCUACCCUACGGAGGGGGAUAACCCCGGGAAACUGGGGAUAAUACCCAUAGACUAUGGAUGCUGGAAUGCUCUGUAGCCGAAAGGUCCGCCGCCGUAGGAUGGGUCUGCGGCCGAUUAGGUUGUUGUUGGGGUAACGGCCCAACAAGCCUGUAAUCGGUACGGGUUGUGGGAGCAAGGGCCCGGAGAUGGAUUCUGAGACACGAAUCCAGGCCCUACGGGGCGCAGCAGGCGCGAAAACUUUGCAAUGCGGGAAACCGUGACAAGGGAACUCUGAGUGCCCGUAAAAUCGGGCUGUCCAUCGGUUUAAAAAACCGGUGAAGAAAGGGCCGGGCAAGACCGGUGCCAGCCGCCGCGGUAAUACCGGCGGCUCGAGUGGUGGCCACUAUUACUGGGCUUAAAGCGUUCGUAGCUGGUUUGUUAAGUCUCUGGGGAAAUCUUCCGGCUUAACCGGAAGGCGUCUCAGGGAUACUGGCAGACUAGGGACCGGGAGAGGUGAGAGGUACUCCAGGGGUAGGAGUGAAAUCCUGUAAUCCUUGGGGGACCACCUGUGGCGAAGGCGUCUCACCAGAACGGCUCCGACAGUGAGGGACGAAAGCUGGGGGAGCAAACCGGAUUAGAUACCCGGGUAGUCCCAGCUGUAAACGAUGCGCGUUAGGUGUAUCGGUGACCACGAGUCACCGAGGUGCCGAAGAGAAAUCGUGAAACGUGCCGCCUGGGAAGUACGGUCGCAAGGCUGAAACUUAA